rnacentral:rRNA from 1 species
UAGGGAAUCUUCGGCAAUGGACGGAAGUCUGACCGAGCAACGCCGCGUGAGUGAAGAAGGUUUUCGGAUCGUAAAGCUCUGUUGUAAGAGAAGAACGAGUGUGAGAGUGGAAAGUUCACACUGUGACGGUAUCUUACCAGAAAGGGACAGCUAACUACGUGCCAGCAGCCGCGGUAAUACGUAGGUCCCGAGCGUUGUCCGGAUUUAUUGGGCGUAAAGCGAGCGCAGGCGGUUAGAUAAGUCUGAAGUUAAAGGCUGUGGCUUAACCAUAGUACGCUUUGGAAACUGUUUAACUUGAGUGCAAGAGGGGAGAGUGGAAUUCCAUGUGUAGCGGUGAAAUGCGUAGAUAUAUGGAGGAACACCGGUGGCGAAAGCGGCUCUCUGGCUUGUAACUGACGCUGAGGCUCGAAAGCGUGGGGAGCAAACAGGAUUAGAUACCCUGGUAGUCCACGCCGUAAACGAUGAGUGCUAGGUGUUAGACCCUUUCCGGGGUUUAGUGCCGCAGCUAACGCAUUAAGCACUCCGCCUGGGGAGUACGACCGCAAGGUUG